rnacentral:rRNA from 1 species
GAUGAACGCUGGCGGCGUGCCUAAUACAUGCAAGUCGAGCGAACGGACGAGAAGCUUGCUUCUCUGAUGUUAGCGGCGGACGGGUGAGUAACACGUGGAUAACCUACCUAUAAGACUGGGAUAACUUCGGGAAACCGGGGCUAAUACCGGAUAAUAUUUUGAACCGCAUGGUUCAAAAGUGAAAGACGGUCUUGCUGUCACUUAUAGAUGGAUCCGCGCUGCAUUAGCUAGUUGGUAAGGUAACGGCUUACCAAGGCAACGAUGCAUAGCCGACCUGAGAGGGUGAUCGGCCACACUGGAACUGAGACACGGUCCAGACUCCUACGGGAGGCAGCAGUAGGGAAUCUUCCGCAAUGGGCGAAAGCCUGACGGAGCAACGCCGCGUGAGUGAUGAAGGUCUUCGGAUCGUAAAACUCUGUUAUUAGGGAAGAACAUAUGUGUAAGUAACUGUGCACAUCCUGACGGUACCUAAUCAGAAAGCCACGGCUAACUACGUG